rnacentral:rRNA from 1 species
GACGAACGCUGGCGGCGUGCUUAACACAUGCAAGUCGAACGGAAAGGCCCUGCUUUUGUGGUGUUCUCGAGUGGCGAACGGGUGAGUAACACGUGAGUAACCUGCCCUUGACUUUGGGAUAACUUCAGGAAACUAGGGCUAAUACCGGAUAGGAGCUCCUGCUGCAUGGUGGGGGUUGGAAAGUUUCGGCGGGUGGGGAUGGACUCGCGGCUUAUCAGCUUGUUGGUGGGGUAGUGGCUUACCAAGGCUUUGACGGGUAGCCGGCCUGAGAGGGUGACCGGCCACAUUGGGACUGAGAUACGGCCCAGACUCCUACGGGAGGCAUCAGUGGGGAAUAUUGCACAAUGGGCGGAAGCCUGAUGCAGCAACGCCGCGUGCGGGAUGACGGCCUUCGGGUUGUAAACCGCUUUCGCCUGUGACGAAGCGUGAGUGACGGUAAUGAGUAAAGAAGCACCGGCUAGCUACGUG